CCUACGGGAGGCAGCAGUGAGGAAUAUUGGUCAAUGGACGAGAGUCUGAACCAGCCAAGUAGCGUGAAGGAUGAAUGCCCUAUGGGUUGUAAACUUCAUUUAUAUGGGAAUAAAAUGUUCCACGUGUGGGAUUUUGUAUGUACCAUAUGAAUAAGGAUCGGCUAACUCCGUGCCAGCAGCCGCGGUAAUACGGAGGAUCCGAGCGUUAUCCGGAUUUAUUGGGUUUAAAGGGAGCGUAGGUGGGUUGUUAAGUCAGUUGUGAAAGUUUGCGGCCCAACCGUAAAAUUGCAGUUGAAACUGGCAGUCUUGAGUACAGUAGAGGUGGGCGGAAUUCGUGGUGUAGCGGUGACAUGCUUAGAUAUCACGAAGAACUCCGAUUGCGAAGGCAGCUCACUGGACUGCAACUGACGCUGAGGCUCGAAAGUGUGGGUAUCAAACAGGAUUAGAUACCCGAGUAGUC
rnacentral:rRNA from 1 species